UACGUAGGGUGCAAGCGUUAAUCGGAAUUACUGGGCGUAAGGCGUGCGUAGGCGGUUUUGUAAGUCUGUCGUGAAAUCCCCGGGCUCAACCUGGGAAUUGCGAUGGAGACUGCAAGGCUAGAAUCUGGCAGAGGGGGGUAGAAUUCCACGUGUAGCAGUGAAAUGCGUAGAGAUGUGGAGGAACACCGAUGGCGAAGGCAGCCCCCUGGGUCAAGAUUGACGCUCAUGCACGAAAGCGUGGGGAGCAAACAGG
rnacentral:rRNA from 1 species